GUGGCCCAUGUAUGCCAAAUCCUUGUAAGAAUGAUGGCAUUUGCUCUGAAACUUACAACAGCACCUCUCUCCACUUCUGUGAAUGUUCAGAACUCUACACAGGACCAAACUGUGAGGCUGAAAAAAUAGCUGAAGAUCCUGACACAGAGGAUUCGGGUAACACAAUUGCCAUCGUCAUUGCAGUUGUGGCAGGUGUAGCUGUUAUUGUCAUUCUCAUCUCUUCUACAGUGUUUCUGUUCAGAAGGAAGAGAAAGGUGGAUACAGUUACAAUAACAAGGGAUUCUUCUUUGAAAUGGUCCAGUGAUGAAUUGGAUGCCAGAGUACGUGAGCAAGAUUAUGGCUGCAUCGUGAACAGUGCAUUUGAUCAAAAUGAAUCCACAAAUACACACUUAUAGUUAACAAUAUUAUUAUUUGUCAUACUUUUUACUCUUGUAUUUUAAUUGUAUUUCUAAUACUUUGAGAAGAAAUAAAAAUAAAUUUAUCAUUGCA
rnacentral:lncRNA from 1 species